GAUGAACGCUAGCGGCAGGCCUAACACAUGCAAGUCGAGGGAGAGGUUACCUUCGGGUAACCAAAACCGGCGCACGGGUGCGUAACGCGUAUACAAUCUGCCUUUCACAUAGGGAUAGCCCGAAGAAAUUUGGAUUAAUACCUAAUGGUAUAUAAGAGCGGCAUCGUUUUUAUAUUAAAGCUACGGUGGUGCAAGAUGAGUAUGCGUUCUAUUAGCUAGUUGGAGAGGUAACGGCUCCCCAAGGCGACGAUAGAUAGGGGUUCUGAGAGGGAUGUCCCCCACACUGGUACUGAGAUACGGACCAGACUCCUACGGGAGGCAGCAGUGAGGAAUAUUGGACAAUGGUCGGAAGACUGAUCCAGCCAUGCCGCGUGCAGGAUGAAGGUCAUAUGGAUUGUAAACUGCUUUUGUAAGGGAAGAAUAAGGAGUACGUGUACUUUGAUGACGGUACCUUACGAAUAAGCAUCGGCUAACUCCGUG
rnacentral:rRNA from 1 species